ensembl:snRNA U6 U6 spliceosomal RNA
GUGCUUGCUUCAGCAGCCCAUAUAAUAAAAUUGGAACGAUACAAAGAUUAGCAUGGCCUCUGCACAAGGAUGACAUGCUAAUCCAUGUAGUGUUCCAUAUUUAA